CUUUAGGCAAAACUUGAAUGGUUUGAUUCUCUUUAUUUUUCAGUUAAGGAUUUGGAUGGAUCAACUCUGUAGCUGCCGAAGCAACAUGCCGGAGAGACGACUUCAGCUUUGGAACACGGCUUAAAGACUUUCAGAGCAUUUGCAGUAUAGCCUUAUAGGUGCUGGAGUCCUUGGGCUCAGUAACUUUGCAAACAUUGCUUAAACAGGAUAGGAUUCAUCAUGGUCACCAAGAGCAUGGAUAUUUCCACUGAGAGUCGCUAAUUUCUGUUGUUAUCUUGUUGAAAUGGCAUAUGCAUUGGGGAAUUGAAGAAGAAACUAAGGCCAUGGUGGCAGAAAUUGACGAUGAGGCUAAUGAUGAAGGUUAGAUGGUCACUCGACCUGGAAAACUGAGUGGAUCAAGUUCCACAGCCUUAUGCUAAUGAAGCAGCUUCCGGCUUUGAUAAUGACGGAGCCUAUCCUCCUGAUCUACGUCUUAUGACUUAGGUACAUGUAAGAUAUGAAACCGAAGACUAAAUGAUUUAAACCUUCUAAUUUCUUUUGCAAUAUGGAGAAAGGAUCAUCUCUGCUAUAGCAAACAUUACAUGGAAUAAUAACUGAUUCCCUCGCAUAAGCAAUGCUGUAAGAAGAAAAGAAAAGGACCACACAAGGAGCCAGAGUGAUCAUUCUUCAUGUGGUAGUAUGUGCUCAAGAACCUGACCCUGGUGCGCUCAGUUACUGCGGUGAACCGAAGCUUGGCCCGUUUGAAUCCUCCUUUACCUGCAGAUUCAU